rnacentral:rRNA from 1 species
UACGUAGGGUGCGAGCGUUGUCCGGAAUUAUUGGGCGUAAAGAGCUCGUAGGCGGUGUGUCACGUCGAUCGUGAAAACUUGGGGCUUAACUCUGAGCUUGCGGUCGAUACGGGCAUCACUGGAGUUCGGCAGGGGAGACUGGAAUUCCUGGUGUAGCGGUGAAAUGCGUAGAUAUCGAGAGGAACACCUGCGGCGAAGGCGGGUUGCUGGGCUGACACUGACGCUGAUGCGCGAAAGCCAGGGGAGCGAACGGG